UGGUCCAGCAAAACGCGAUAAAACGCGCACCCGGCUAAUCCCACGACGAGACCAACAGGUAUAGCCUGCCGGCCCGAUCACGGGCGCGCUGGACGGCCAGUAUUUGAUCUUCAAAGGCGGGACUUCGCAGGAGAGCGUCCCACUCUUCCUUGGUGAACUUUGGGCCCAACGACCCGCACUCCCACAGCAUGCGAGGCAGGGUAGCA
rnacentral:lncRNA from 1 species